UACAGAGGUCUCAAGCGUUUGUUCGGAUUCAUUGGGCGUAAAGGGUGUGUAGGUGGCGCGCUAAGUCGGGUGUGGAAAUCUCAGAGCUCAACUCUGAAACUGCACUCGAUACUGCUUUGCUUGAGGACUGGAGAGGAGAUUGGAAUUCACGGUGUAGCAGUGAAAUGCGUAGAUAUCGUGAGGAAGACCAGUGGCGAAGGCGGAUCUCUGGACAGUUCCUGACGCUGAGGCGCGAAGGCCAGGGGAGCAAACGGG
rnacentral:rRNA from 1 species